rnacentral:rRNA from 1 species
UACGUAGGUGACAAGCGUUGUCCGGAUUUACUGGGCGUAAAGAGCGCGCAGGCGGUCGUUCAAGUCGAGUGUGAAAGCCCCCGGCUCAACUGGGGAGGGUCAUUCGAUACUGAUCGACUCGAAGGCAGGAGAGGGUAGUGGAAUUCCCGGUGUAGUGGUGAAAUGCGUAGAUAUCGGGAGGAACACCAGUGGCGAAGGCGACUACCUGGCCUGUUCUUGACGCUGAGGCGCGAAAGCUAGGGGAGCGAACGGG